GGGAAUAUGGCUUAGUGGUAGAGUGCUUGCCUAGCAUGCAUGAAUCCCUAAGGUUCAAUUCCUCAGUACCA
rnacentral:tRNA from 1 species